AAAUUGAAGAGUUUGAUCAUGGCUCAGAUUGAACGCUGGCGGCAGGCCUAACACAUGCAAGUCGAGCGGAAACGAGUUAUCUGAACCUUCGGGGAACGAUAACGGCGUCGAGCGGCGGACGGGUGAGUAAUGCCUAGGAAAUUGCCCUGAUGUGGGGGAUAACCAUUGGAAACGAUGGCUAAUACCGCAUGAUGCCUACGGGCCAAAGAGGGGGACCUUC
rnacentral:rRNA from 1 species